CUUAGUAGAAUAGUACCUAGUUUUUAUCUAAGAUAUAUUAACUGUUAUUAUUAUGAUUUGUAUCAAGUUUUCCUAAAGAGAUGACAUUUGAGAUUGGUUCUUAAGGGAAUCGUAACAAAUGGAAAUGUGAGUGAAGAGCAUUAUAAAUGACUGAACAACUUAUUUGAAGACCCAGAGAACUCAAAGAAUGGGAACCAGGGAGUGAUCUUUUGGAAAAGAGCAUACAACUGUGGAAAAAUGGGAUAAAUCAAGCCCCCAUUCUUGCUGAGUUCUUACUUCACCAUAAAUUAGGCACCUGAAUUCUGCAGAUCUUGGAAAAUUCACAGUCCUAAUAUACCCGUCAUCCACACAUUUGAAGAUGAGGAAACAAUUACUUUCAACAGGCAUAGAGACAGAAGCAGUAUCUACCAAGUACAUGGAGAAGAGAAUCACCACCCCCCCCAAAUCAGUCACCUCAAUCCUUCUGUAUCCUGCAAUAAAAUGGGGCACAAGCAAAUAAGAGCUUAUUUACUGCUGCAUAAAAGUUUGGCUGAACAGUCAAGGAGAGGAAGUCUGCUUUCGAUUUCAACCAUCUGGAAACAUUACAUCUCAAAACUAAGAUCUUUCCAAUUUUCUUGUAGGAUAAGUAGCGUGUCUUCUCCUUAACUCUACACUCUGUAGACUAGAGCAGAUAUCAUAGAAAUAAUGAUCAUCAUAGGUAAAUUAACCCAUGUAAGUGUAUCGGUCCUCCAGAACUUUCAAAAACUUGGGGAAAAAUAUUAACAAUGGUCUCUUAAAAUGUGAAAUCCCCACACGUUUUAAAUUAGAGAAAUUAUUUGCAAAGUCAUCAUUGCUGUGUUUUGUAAUCCCUCGUAAAUGUAGAACAUAGCUCUCUUACAUCUAUUUGCCCUCAAAACUAUUUUUCUUCUUCAAAGCAAGUAAGAAUCACUUUUUUCUCAAGGAUAUCUGGGUAAAGAGAUGUGCCCUGAGUUUCUAGAUCAGCCCCCUGAAGUGUUGUUUGACACUUUGCAAGUCACUUAACUCCUUUGGAACUUCUGUUUCUCUCUGUGUAAAAUGAUACUGACCACCCACUGAACCUACGGGCAUGGAGCAGCCCUGGACACUGGAGUGUGCCAGUGCUUAGGAUGAAAGUGUCAUGUAAAUUCCAGGGAGGCAGUGUGGUCCAAUGUGGAAAGGGUUCAAUUAACCCCCAGGAGACCAAGGGGCUUUGUUUUCAAUUCAGAGGCUAAGUGACCCUGGAGACUACCUCUACUCAGAGCCUCGACUAUCUCCACAGGACAGUGUGCAGUCUCAAUCACUACUCAACUGAGUUUCAAACUUUUAUUUCUCUUGCUUAUUUCAAUUUUUUU